CAAUAGCGUAUAUUAAAGUUGUUGCAGUUAAAAAGCUCGUAGUUGGAUUUGUGGCGUACGGUGUGUUCCGGGCACUUGUUGUCUGAGUAACCUGCUGUUGCCAUCCUUGGGUGGAACCUGUGUGGCAUUAGGUUGUCGUGCAGGGGAUGCCCAUCAUUUACUGUGAAAAAAUUAGAGUGUUCAAAGCAGGCUUAUGCUGUUGAAUAUAUUAGCAUGGAAUAAUGAGAUAGGACUUUUUUGCUAUUUUGUUGGUUUGCGCAAAGAGGUAAUGAUUAAUAGGGACAGUUGGGGGUAUUCGUAUUCCAUUGUCAGAGGUGAAAUUCUUGGAUUUUUGGAAGACGAACUACUGCGAAAGCAUUUACCAAGGAUGUUUUCAUUAA
rnacentral:rRNA from 1 species